GUGUUUGCUUUGGCAGCCCAUAUACUAAAAUUGGAAUGAUAUAGAGAAGAUUAGCAUGGGCCCUGUGCAAGGAUGACAUACAAAUUUAUGAAGCAUUACAUAUUUAA